rnacentral:misc_RNA from 1 species
GUGUUAUCUCGGUUGCAUAUGGUUCCAAUGUAAUGUCAACAGAGCCAAAAAACUGGGAUGUAGCUGAAGAAUAUGAAGUGGAUAAAGCAGUGACAAUUAGGCCACUAAUAAAUAACUGCAGACCCAGUGCCUUUCGAAUCUCGUCCAAUCCGAAGUCCUUUAUAGUUAAGAAGAAUAAGCUGAAAGACAAGCCAGCUGAAAAUAGACAGUAUAAACAAG